rnacentral:rRNA from 1 species
GCUUCCUACGGGAGGCAGCAGUGGGGAAUUUUGGACAAUGGGCGCAAGCCUGAUCCAGCAAUGCCGCGUGAGUGAAGAAGGCCUUCGGGUUGUAAAGCUCUUUUGUCAGGGAAGAAACGGUGAGGGCUAAUAUCCUUUGCUAAUGACGGUACCUGAAGAAUAAGCACCGGCUAACUACGUGCCAGCAGCCGCGGUAAUACGUAGGGUGCAAGCGUUAAUCGGAAUUACUGGGCGUAAAGCGUGCGCAGGCGGUUAUGUAAGUCAGAUGUGAAAUCCCCGGGCUCAACCUGGGAAUGGCAUUUGAGACUGCAUGGCUAGAGUGUGUCAGAGGGGGGUAGAAUUCCACGUGUAGCAGUGAAAUGCGUAGAGAUGUGGAGGAAUACCGAUGGCGAAGGCAGCCCCCUGGGAUAACACUGACGCUCAUGCACGAAAGCGUGGGGAGCAAACAGGAUUAGAUACCCUGGUAGUCCACGCCCUAAACGAUGUCUACUAGUUGUCGGGACUUAAUUGUCUUGGUAACGCAGCUAACGCGUGAAGUAGACCGCCUGGGGAGUACGGUCGCAAGAUUAAAACUC